rnacentral:lncRNA from 1 species
GUGACGUAGAUCUCAUGUGACCAGGAGUCGACGUGUGCAGAAAUCCUGCUAGUCUGGUCCUUGUUUCCAUCUGAGUACCAGCUCUCUUCAGCCUUGCAGUCGGCGGUGUGAGAGGCCAGCGGAAGAAGGAGACAGCUUGCUUGAAUUCUGCAGGUUUGUUCUUUGUACUGCUCCAAGCUAAAAUAAGUAGGAAAAAGAAGCCGACCAGAUCGGUACCUGAAAUAAUUGCAUUCACGAAUAGGCAGGA